UUUCCGUAGGUGAACCUGCGGAAGGAUCAUUAAUGAGUUGUCAUGGGGUUCGAUGCUGGCAGCCAGUUUUUGGAGGCAUGUGCUUGCCCUAACAAUCAUCUUCUUCCAAACACCUGUGCACAUUUUUGAGGGAGUCUUGAGUUGGUUGCCGCUCUUGGGUGAUUUUCUCACAUUCCCUUAAAUCAUAAUACGCUAUUAACAAUGUUGAACGUGCUCUGUGCCGCAAGGCCAUUAAUAUAAUACAACUUUUAACAACGGAUCUCUUGGCUCUC
rnacentral:misc_RNA from 1 species